AACCCAUGGUGAGGGCAUUCCCGACGGUAGGUAUGCGCUCUCAUGCAUCACAGAACGGUUCAUCGUGGAUCUGCUUAAACGUAGAGAUCUUGUUCCUCAAGGC
rfam:Brassica oleracea var. oleracea cultivar TO1000 chromosome C7, whole genome shotgun sequence